rnacentral:rRNA from 1 species
UACGUAGGGUGCAAGCGUUAAUCGGAAUUACUGGGCGUAAAGCGUGCGCAGGCGGUUUUGUAAGUCUGUCGUGAAAGCCCCCGGGCUCAACCUGGGAAUUGCGAUGGAGACUGCAAGGCUUGAAUCUGGCAGAGGGGGGUAGAAUUCCACGUGUAGCAGUGAAAUGCGUAGAGAUGUGGAGGAACACCGAUGGCGAAGGCAGCCCCCUGGGUCAAGAUUGACGCUCAUGCACGAAAAGCGUGGGGAGCAAACAGGAUUAGAA